rnacentral:lncRNA from 1 species
AGCUUCCGGAGUAGCUGGGACUACGGGCGCCCGCCACCACGCCCGGCUAAUUUUUUUGUGUUUUUAGUAGAGACGGGGUUUCACCGUGUUGGCCUAGCUGUUCUCAAACUCCUGACCUCGUGAUCCCCCUGCCUCAGCCUCCCAGUGCUGGGAUUACAAGCGUGAGCCACCGCGCCCGGCCAACACUCUUGACAACAGUGCUGUGCUAAGAACUUGGGGGACUUCAAACAGUUCACUAGUUCCUGUGUCCAUGGGUGAAAAGAUUUUCUACAUCUUUCUUUGACUAGAAACAGAAGUCCUGAAACAAGAAUAUAACGUCAUGAAGCCAGAGGCUUUGUCCUGCCUAAUGCGUUAUUUCCAGACUGAAUAAAAGCACCUGAGUCCUGAUAAGUCUAAUUUGUUAGGUGUGGCAAUAUGACCAGUGAAAAACAAGGGCGGCAUUUCCUGCAGUUCAGUGGCACAGUAUGGUUCAAAGAGGUAUAAAAGGAAGUCACAGGCAUUUUUAAAAGGUUGUACAUCUAGCAAUACCUAACAAAAUAGGAAAUCAACUUGGAAAGCCAAUGGCUGUGUUUUGAGUUUAUGGAGAGCCAUAUGUGGCAAGGAACUGAGGGUGGCAUUCAGGCAACAGACUUCAAGAAACUGAGGCUGUCAGUCCAACAACCCACAAGAACUGAAUCUGACCAACAAUCACAGGAAAAAACGUAGAAGUAUACUCUUUCCCAGACAAACCUUCAGAUGAGACCACAGCCCCAGCCAUAAGCUUGAAAACAAUCUCAUGAGGGACCUUGAGCCACAGGCAUGUAGCAAAGCUAUGCCAGGAAUCCUGCCUGCCCCACAGAAAGUGUAAAAAAAAUAAAUUUUUGCUGUUUUAAGCCAUGAA